AUCAGAAUCUGCCCAUGGGAGAUUACCUUCAAUUUUGUACAUUUUAGUCAUUUAGCAGAUGCUCUUAUCUAGAGCAACUUACAAUUAAAAUAACUUUAUGUUCAUCUGUAUUGCAUUUGACACAGGUGUUAGAUUUGUCCUACAACAAUCUGUCUGGAGAUGUCUGUUGGUCUACUUCUCUAUCUGAAAGUCUUUCAUCUCACCGGGAAUCAGCUUCAGGCCCUUCCUCCCAACAAGGCUGCCCCUCGCCAUGACCUCUCACAGCUGUGAGUUCAUGUUCAUAUUGUUGUUUUUAUUGUAGAUUUUAAACUGUAGGUAAGUGCAGUUUUCUGGUUUAGUUCCCUCAGUCAUAGAUAACCUUCCUGCUCAACACGGUUUAACCACUAGAAUGAAAUGAGUGGCUUCCUGGUGUGCAAGUGCUCAGAAAUGUGGCUCUUAUGAUUUGUUACCUGGUAAAAGUUUAUGGUCCAGUUACAUUCCACUGGGUGGCAGUAUAGGAUGACAAAGAGGAGAAAUUUACCAAGCGCUCAUAAUACACAUUUGAACAGAAUACCUGCUAAUAGGGAUGGACAAUAGACACGUGCUGAUGCUACAGUAGAUAACAAUAAGCUGUCCCCUGGUGUCUUCAGAAGCCUUGCCAACCUAAAAAGACUACAGCAUUGAAACCUGCAGGGGAACCACAUCUCAGUAGUACCAGAGGUGUUACCAAGGAACCUGCAACAGAAGGGGUAUUUGCAACACCAGCAGGUGUCUCUCAAACAAAAUUGUGAUGAACAGGACUUCAGGAAUCCCCCUGUCUCUGAGGGGUAGGAGACUGAAUACAUUAAUGGAUGUGUGGUCAAUCCAAAAAACGAUUCCCCCACUCACAUAUUCCUUGACACUGGGGCUGAGGACAGAGAGGAAUUGUAUGGAGUAUACGGUUUGCCACCACCAGAGCUUUGUUUCCUCAAUGUGGCUGACAAUAAGGUAUGUACAUUGUCAAGAUAUAUUUCGGGAGGACUAUACUGUGAGUCAGUGAAGUCCCUUGUCUCAUUAUUGCCUCCAGAUUGUCGAGGAAGAAGCAGUGUCUGUAGCUGUGUUCGUCCUAUGCUCAGUGAGAUUGUUAUUCACUCCAACCCACUGACCACACAGAAGUGGUGCCCCCCUACUGCUGACUUACUUCCUCCAGGAAAGGCUGGGUAUUAGAAUUAGGUAAAAAUGAAAAUUCCAAAGGUGCCUUUAUUGAUGCUCCUUGACGCUGCUGGCUCUCUGGAGGUGAAAGAUGUUGAAGAUCACACUAUACAAUAGUCAUCAGAUGACCCUUCCAAAAUGAGGAGUCAUUCUUUUGUGGUGGCUGCUGAGGGAAGAACUUUUCAUAACAGUGGCGGUCAGUGCUGUUUAUGAUGAGGGAGGAAUUUAUUAAUUUUUUUCCUUCGUGAGCAUGUCCUCUAUUACAGCGUGUUGGAUGACUGUCAUUCAUAUUGUAUUCACCCAGUUCAAUGUAACAUUGAUGGUUUAGGCUAUUACAUGAUUCUCAAAUUUUCCCUAUACCCACCAUGAUGUUGCUACAACCUAGUUUAUGUCAUUUAAGAUUAGACAGUGACACAUUCAAUACUGCCUUGCCUGCAUCGCUUAUCU
rnacentral:lncRNA from 1 species